rnacentral:rRNA from 1 species
UACGGGGGGAGCAAGCGUUGUUCGGAUUUACUGGGCGUAAAGGGCGCGUAGGCGGCCACCGCAAGUCGACUGUGAAAUCUCCGGGCUUAACCCGGAAAGGUCAGCCGAUACUGCGGGGCUAGAGUGCAGAAGGGGCAACUGGAAUUCUCGGUGUAGCGGUGAAAUGCGUAGAUAUCGAGAGGAACACCUGCGGCGAAGGCGGGUUGCUGGGCUGACACUGACGCUGAUGCGCGACAGCGUGGGGAGCAAACAGG